UGAAACAUGCCUGGGGUGCAGGAGAGAACAAGAAAGACUAUUUAGCGAAGUAGGCUAAUAGUGGUGGGGAGGAAGGGGGUUGAUUUUCACAUCUUAGAACUGUUGAGCCUGCAAAUAUUACUGAAAUCACAUCUGGGAACAAAGCUCUGCUUUAAGUAAGUUCACCCAUGAGUGUUGCUAAGCAAUGGAGAAAAGGAGAGUGACAGGGAGAGUGCCUGACUUUAGGAUUAGGAGGAUAGAGAGAAGAUAAAAAAGUAAGGUUUCUACACAGCCUUUUUUGUAUGAACUUUCAAGUUCUUUGUUUCUAUUGCUUAUCUUCCAAACUAUUUCUACCAUGAUUAAUCAUAUCUGGUUCAGUAUCUACACCAAUGCACACCCAGCACAGAGAGGUGCUGCAUCCUGGAGCACUGGCACAAGCACCUGGGCACCAGAACUGUCAACAUCUGUCUCUGGAUUAAACAGGAAGGAGAGAAGAAAUCUUCCCUAUCAGCUGCAGCAGGGGUUGCUGCAGGAAGAUGAUAAUUCCCUCCUGCUACUCCGCUGACAACCACCGAGCUGCACAGGAGGAGGAAGGCAUUUUAAUCAUGGAAAUGAAAAACACAGCAGUUUCUAAAGCUUCACCUCACCUUGGUUGAUUUACAUUAAUUUAGGAUCAACUGGCUUUCGGUGGAAUUAUGUUAUAUGUGGAAGAUAACAGAAGGAAAAAUUUGGCGUCAUUUCUAGUUUGGCUGUCCAUUAGAGGCAGCGUGUCUAUGUAUAUAAACAGUUUUGGAGAAUCUCAGAUAAGCAUAAUGAAUUCCUUAAAAGCACAGUGCAAACUUGAGGGCUCCCUAAUUCCAUAGUAAGUGUUUUAUAAAUGCCAGACUUUAAAA